AUGUCCCUAAUAUACAAUCGAUGGUAGAUGUGUGGGCUUUGGAAUCCUAGGACCUGCCCAGAAUUAUGUCUCUGUUACUCACCAGCUCCAUGGCCCUGGUGUUUCCUCAUAACCUCUUUGGACUGAGCACCAGGGCUGUUUUCUAGUGAAGAAGACCAAAUAACAAGAGAAGAAAAGAUUGAUCUUGAGUGCUGGGUAUUUUUCGCUCACCACAUUAGCUGCCAGGUUUCCAGGCUAUCCCCCCAGGACUGAGAUGAGGUGAGAGCCAGUCGUGCCUGUCCCUUCAAUGCCUGAGCUUCCUUGCUACCUACACUAGCAAGAUUAUGAUCUCCAGGACUAACAAGCCACAUAAAGCUCCCUUGACACAUGAA